GACGAACGCUGGCGGCGUGCUUAACACAUGCAAGUCGAACGGAAAGGCCCUGCUUUUGUGGGGUGCUCGAGUGGCGAACGGGUGAGUAACACGUGAGUAACCUGCCCUUGACUUUGGGAUAACUUCAGGAAACUGGGGCUAAUACCGGAUAGGAGCUCCUGCUGCAUGGUGGGGGUUGGAAAGUUUCGGCGGUUGGGGAUGGACUCGCGGCUUAUCAGCUUGUUGGUGGGGUAGUGGCUUACCAAGGCUUUGACGGGUAGCCGGCCUGAGAGGGUGACCGGCCACAUUGGGACUGAGAUACGGCCCAGACUCCAACGGGAGGCAGCAGUGGGGAAUAUUGCACAAUGGGCGGAAGCCUGAUGCAGCAACGCAGCGUGCGGGAUGACGGCCUUCGGGUUGUAAACCGCUUUCGCCUGUGACGAAGCGUGAGUGACGGUAAUGGGUAAAGAAGCACCGGCUAACUACGUG
rnacentral:rRNA from 1 species